rnacentral:rRNA from 1 species
UUGGAGGGCAAGUCUGGUGCCAGCAGCCGCGGUAAUUCCAGCUCCAAUAGCGUAUAUUAAAGUUGUUGCAGUUAAAAAGCUCGUAGUUGAAUUUCGGGAUUCAUCCGUUGGUCGGGCUUCACGGUCCGUACUGGUGUGAUGGGUUCCUACCUUCUGAAUAACCGGCAUGCCAUUAAUUUGGUGCGCCGGGGAAGCAGAACUAUUACCUUGAAAAAAUUAGAGUGCUUAAAGCAGGCAAGUGCCUGAAUAGGUUAGCAUGGAAUAAUAAAAUAGGACGGCAUGGUUCUAUUUUGUUGGUUUCUAGGAUCACCGUAAUGAUUAAUAGGGAUAGUUGGGGGCAUUAGUAUUCAAUUGUCAGAGGUGAAAUUCUUGGAUUUAUUGAAGACUAACUUCUGCGAAAGCAUUUGCCAAGGAUGUUUCCAUUAAUCAAGAACGAAAGUUAGGGGAUCGAAGACGAUCAGAUACCGUCGUAGUCUUAACCAUAAACUAUGCCGACUAGGGAUCGGACGAUGUUAAUUUUUUAAUGACUCGUUCGGCGCCUUACGGGAAAC